CAGAAACGACCCGAUGCCUCCUUCUUCCCCUGUUUAUGGUUUUCCCUCCGUUGCUCCCUCUCUCUCUGCCGUCACCUCAGCCCUCUCUCUCCGCAGUCACCUCAGCCACCUCCGCUCGUUCCGUAGCCUCCCCUGCCGUCACCGUCGAGCCUGCCGUCGCACAUAGUCGGUUUCCGAUUCUUCGCUGGCCGAUUUCUCUCUCCUCCGGCCACCAUUUCCGACGCCUGAGGUAUGAUUUCUCGACUAUUUUUUGUGCUCUAGCUGAUGGUUGGUUAGGAUUUCUUGAAUUUUCGCUAUAGGAAAUAGGAAUUAAAACCCUAGGUUUUGGCCGGUUUGGGAAUUUCAAAUCCGGCCACUUCCGGCCAUUUUUC
rnacentral:lncRNA from 1 species